rnacentral:rRNA from 1 species
AUUGAACGCUGGCGGCAGGCCUAACACAUGCAAGUCGAGCGGAUGAAGGGAGCUUGCUCCUGGAUUCAGCGGCGGACGGGUGAGUAAUGCCUAGGAAUCUGCCUGGUAGUGGGGGAUAACGUCCGGAAACGGGCGCUAAUACCGCAUACGUCCUGAGGGAGAAGGUGGGGGAUCUUCGGACCUCACGCUAUCAGAUGAGCCUAGGUCGGGUUAGCUAGUUGGUGGGGUAAAGGCCUACCGAGGCGACGAUCCGUAACUGGUCUGAGAGGAUGAUAAGUCACACUGGAACUGAGACACGGUCCAGAGUCCUACGGGAGGCAGCAGUGGGGAAUAUUGGACAAUGGGCGAAAGCCUGAUCCAGCCAUGCCGCGUGUGUGAAGAAGGUCUUCGGAUUGUAAAGCACUUUAAGUUGGGAGGAAGGGCAGUAAGUUAAUACCUUGCUGUUUUGACGUUACCAACAGAAUAAGCACCGGCUAACUUCGUG